rnacentral:rRNA from 1 species
CACGCCGUAAACGGUGGAUGCUGGAUGUGGGGCCCAUUCCACGGGUUCCGUGUCGGAGCUAACGCGUUAAGCAUCCCGCCUGGGGAGUACGGCCGCAAGGCUAAAACUCAAAGAAAUUGACGGGGGCCCGCACAAGCGGCGGAGCAUGCGGAUUAAUUCGAUGCAACGCGAAGAACCUUACCUGGGCUUGACAUGUUCCUGACGGCCGCGGAGACGCGGCUUCCCUUCGGGGCAGGUUCACAGGUGG